rnacentral:rRNA from 1 species
AUGAGCUUGUCUGCCGCCGGGAUCAUCAGUGCCAUCAAUGAUUGUGUCAGUUUGUUUCUGUCGGCCAAAUCUGCCAUUUCAUCUCUGCGCUCCCGAUGGAGUGGCUCACAAGAGCAAAGUCUUCAGGAUCAUGUAUUGCAAUUACAGAGUGAUGUACAACAUCUCUGUGACACUCUUCCUGCAAUGUAUCACCUCAUUAAUGGAGCAGAGUGGAGAAGCUAUGAAGACCAUGUGGCCAAGCUCCUUCCGAGUCUCAAGGAUGCUGUGUCUGAGGCCGAGGACCUUAUUGAUGAGUUCAGAUGGCAUGAGAUGAAGGUGCAAGUGGAGGGCAAUGCAAUCCAAUCUCCUUUCAUUGACUUCCUUGAUAAGGUCAUUCAUGGCAACUUCAACAAGUUGAAUGAUGUCCAGUUGAGGUUGAAUUACCUUUCGAGUGAGAUGAAGGGUAUGGGGCUUCGUGAAGUUACACAUCGCUUUGCGAAAUCAGUCAGGCCCGUGACCACCUCUUUGUUGUCAAAGGAAACAAAGAUAUUUGGUCGUGAGAAGGAGGUGAAACAGGUAUUGGGAUUUCUUAAGGUACCUACACAUCCCAAACGCAAGAGAGCAACUAGUUCAAUCAACGCAUCAACAAGCACAUCAUCAAGCAAUCAUGUUAAUGGUGAACCAAAAAUAUUGAGUCUUCCUGUUUUGGUGGUAGCUGGAAUUGGUGGUGUUGGAAAGACCACUUUGGCCCAACAUAUCUGCAACCAUCAACGAGUGAAGUCGCACUUCGAGCUAAUAAUUUGGAUUUGUGUCUCAGAUGACUUCGAUGAGGAGAGAUUAACUAAAGAAGCCAUAGAAUCAUGUACCGGAAAGGAGGCAAAGAUUGAUAAUUUGGAUUCUCUUCAGCGUGCUAUUUCUAACCAUGUGAAAAAUAAAAGAUUAUUGAUUGUCCUUGAUGAUGUGUGGGAUGAUGCCUUGAAGGAUAAUGGGCGGUGUUGGGAGAUGUUUUGUGCACCUUUUGCAAGUGCCCAAGAAGGAAGUGCGAUGUUAGUCACCACUAGAUGUCCAAAUAUUACCAAGGCGGUGCACACAAUGGAGCCUGUUAUAGUUGAAGGUCUAAAGGAUGAUGUGUUUUGGAAUUUCUUCAAGUUAUGUGCAUUUGGAUCUGAGGGUUCUAGCAAUGAUCCUGAGUUAGAGUGUAUUGGAAGAAGAAUACUUCCUAAAUUGAAGGGUUCUCCUUUGGCAGCCAGAACUCUAGGGCGGAUGUUAAGGAUGGACCAUCAAGCAUCGCAUUGGAGUUCUAUACUUGGGAGUGAACUGUGGGAGUUGAAACAAAAGGAAACCGAGAUUUUGCCUGCCCUUCGGUUGAGCUACAUGUAUUUACCAUUCUAUUUGAAACAAUGCUUUGCAUUCUGUGCCGUGUAUCCCAAAGAUUACAAAUUUGAGAAGGCAUGCUUAGCUGAAAUUUGGGUGGCAGAAGGCUUUGUGGAGCCUCAAGGUGGUGUUCCCAUUCAAGAUAUUUGCUAUCAGUAUUUUGAAGACCUUGUGGCACGGUCCUUCUUUCAAAAGGUUAAUGGUCGAUAUGUAAUCCAUGACUUACUGCAUGACAUGGCACAAAAAGUUUCAGAGCACGUUUGCUUCAUCUUACGAAAUAAGAGUGACUUUGAUAAAGUUCCCCAGAAUGUUCGCCAUCUAUACAUACUCCCUAGCAGUGAAUUUGAUGAUUCCAACUUGUUGAGACUAUGCAAGUACACGAAGCUGCGCACCCUAAUUUGCAAGAUUAAUUUGGGGAGAAGAACAUGCUUUGUAAUGGACCACUGGUGUACUAAACUUACACGUAUGCGUGUGAUGUCUUGUGCUUUCACAAAUGAAUUACCAGAUAGUAUCGGUAAUUGGAGGCAUCUUCGGUACCUUGAAAUCUCCAGAGCUUGUACUUUGAAGAGGAUUCCUUCAGCUUUCUGUUGGCUAUAUAAUAUGCAGAUUUUAUAUGCCAAGAAGUGCAAGAUAGAAAGUUUACCCGCUGACUUUGACAAGUUGACCAAUUUACAGAAA